UGCAUAUGCGUUACCCAUGUGGCGUAGGACACAUGGGGGCCGUUCGUGUGUGCUGGCACGAAGGGUCCAGUCGUGGAUAUAUAUAUAUAUGUAUAUCAUGUGAUUUUCUGCAGGUACACUAACAAACGAUUGCGUGAGUUAGAACGAGUACAAAACGACUAGAUAUAUAAUAGGGAGAGUACGUAUGUAUGCCACCGAGUAUCCACGUAUAUUACCAUAUAAUUAUGUUGGCAAAUUUUGGAGAGGACGAAAUUAGACGAGCAUGCAUCAUCAUAUCAUCAUGUGUGGAGUUUUUGGUGGUUUUUCUGGUGCACCCAAUACUUGUUCACUAAGAGCAUACAUCGCUGUUUUGAAAUUUUGCGCUACACUACUAUCGAUCCAACUUCUAGCUAUCCAAAUAAAUUUUCCUGAAAAACUUGAUUAUGAGAAAGAUGUGAGAAAUUAUAGAUUUACAUAUUAUAGAAAUUUUAACGACCUUAGGGGAAUGUUCAUAUGGAUCUCCAGACUAAACUUGGCCCCUUUGAUCCAGUGCCUUCUAUGCUUAUAGUUACGACUCAGUAGUAAUGGUCAGGUCUUUCUUAACAUUCUCAUUAUCUUCGAAAGUCCAAAUAAAGAUAUUAUCCUUAGGUGAAACCCUUGGUUGGUUAUUUUGGUAUAACUUUCAUACCAUAACUAACUACAAUUAACCGAUUAGUGGCUCAACGACCUUUCCAAUUGAUCCAAACAAUGAUCUUUUCUAGUAUUGGUCAACAUUAAUUUGCCUCUAGACCAUGUGUUCAAAUGCUCGAAGAUAAUCCAUCCCAACUAUCCUUGGUGACUAAAGACAUUCUAUUGUUCUUCGAGUAUUGAUAUCCUUCAUUCUUAAUUAUUUUGAUUCCUACCCUUAAUAUGGAUUCACUUGCAUUCUUGCUCGAAUCAAUGUGAAUAAGUUAAAGAUUUUAAUCACCUACAUUAUAGUCAUCUUGCAUGAAUAGGAAUGCAAUAUUGUUGCAUUGCAUAAUCAUACAUUGUUUAGGUAUGGGUUUAACAAGGUGAAACCGGAUGAUAGGCUAACUAACGUUAUGUGUCCCGUAUGUCUACGUAGAACUUUUGAUGUUUUUGAAAUAUGAAAAACCUCUCUGAAUUUGUGCUGCUUGGAUUGCUUUCUAUGAUUUUUCUUUCGUAGCGGUGAUUGUCUUUCAAACUAUAGUGCCGCGACGAGACCUAGUGCCUCGUAUGGACGCAUACGAUUGUGCCGCUGGGUACGCGCUGGCGCUUAAGUACGAAGGGACAUGGACUGUUACGACUGUCUUUUUUAUGCAACCCAUAAAAUAUUUUUCUCUACUUCGUCCUCUUUAAGGGGGUAGGCCCUAGACAAAUAACGACGCGAACGGGCUGUUUUAGGUUUGAGUUUCUGGGAUAGUAGUAUACUAACAUGCAUGGCAACAUAUGCAUCUUGCAUCAUGCAGUUCCAUUAAUAAACAAUAUCGAGCAAGAAUAUUCUUGAGAAAAACUUGCUUUGAUGCCCUUUCUUUUCAGUUUCCCAGAGUUCGUUAAAAACUCACUUUGAUGUCUGUUCUAUCUAGAUUCACCACCAAAUUGAGAAUUUGAUUCUUCUCAGAAAUCUCCUUGAUUCAUAUUCGUUGAGAAGCUUAGAACCUCUCUUCUUUAAAAAUCCUACUUUCUGUAGUACGAGAAUAAUCAACCGGACUUUUUCAGCCGACGUUGAUGGUGUUUGUGUCGACAUAUAUUAUCCACAGACACUUGCUGCAAAAUCUGAAGCCCUGGAGCUUUUUAGUGUGGAAAAACAAUUGAUUAGCUCAUACCGUGGCACGGUUAAUUUUCAGUAAAAUUAUGACAGUCUGGUUGCUAUGCAACUUAUGUCUUCCAGAAUCAUAUCGAGCAAGGGAUUAGCAAAUCAGCUGGCAAUAUUUAUACCAUUAAAAUCAGAUAUAUUGAUUAAUCUAGAGACUAGCACCCACAUCAACCGAUCCUUGUCCUUAGUUUAUCGAUUGUUCUCCUUUACUUUCUCUCCACUUAAAUCCCGGGACGAGAUUUCUUUAAGGGGGUAGGAUUGUAACACCCCUCAAUUAGGAGUGCUAAACACGAUUUGAAGAUUCAAAUUUGGUCAAAAUUAUCAAGCCACACGUGUAGCUCUCUCCUCCCCGUGCGUGCUCACCGUGGCCAAAUUUGCCACGGCGCCGUUCGCGCACGCCACGACGCCGGUCGCACGAAGCUUCUUCCGUGCUCCACUUCUCCUCUCGCUGCCACAACGCGCCGUGCUGCUCUGCUCUUCUUCGCUCUCGCGCACGCACCGGCCGAGCUUGCCUACGCCGCCUGCCUGCGAGCGCUCGCCAGUCGCCACGCCCGCCAUGGCCAUGGCCGCCCCUCCACGCCGAGCCGCCGCUCGAGCCAGCGCCGACCCCCACCAACCCCCAAAUCCGUUUGCUCUCGUCCCAACGAAGAUCCCAGGCCCGGCCAUCACCUCCACGCCUCGCCGGAACGCCGCCACAGCGGCACAGUACCGCCGCCGGCCGCCGCCCGCCGUGGAACCGCCGCCACGGACCACCUCCUCGCGCUCUAAGACCACCCAGAGGUACGAUAGAUGAACCACGUGAAGGAUGUCACGUUGAAGCCAGGACAGAAGACGGUGAAUGGUGGACACGUCUAGAAGAUGGAUGGAUGGAUCCCGAUGUGCAUGAUCCCAAGGAAGGUACUUGCCAAGCGAGUAUCAUCUAACUAACACUGACUCAGUGUUCAUCCCAGGCAAGCCCCGGUAUAGAAGCUAACCAGGAUUCGCAUCAGUGGGCUCGAUGUGA